GAGUCUGCUCGCGGUGCAGACUUCACUGAUUUGAUAACCCACAAUUCACUGCAGUACGGACGUGAAGCUGUUUUUUCCAAUUGCUGAAAAAAGAAUUGACUGUGUAAAAUAGGCUGAAAAACUACAAAAGGUCUUCUAAUGUCAAUAAUACGUAAUUUAUUUCAUUAUAGUCAGUUAUAGUCCUGUCCUUGUUUACAAACAUUUGUGUUGUUGAACGCCUGUAGCAGAUUUUAUAGAGAUGUGUGAAUACAUUUUUGUUAAGUCAUAAAAAAGGUUUCACAUGGGAUUUAUAUCUGUUAUCUGCAGAGACAGAUGAGUUCGGCACGAUUCAGCUGCUCACAGUCUCUGUUCUCAGUCCGCAGGUCUGCGAGGGCUGAAUCUGCAGGUCUGCGAGGGCUCAGUCCGCAGGUCUGCCUGCGAGGGCUCAGUCCGCAGGUCUGUGAGGGCUCAGUCUGCAGGUCUGCGAGGGCUCAGUCCGCAGGUCUGCGAGGGCUCAGUUUGCAGGUCCAGAGGGACGACAUUUGGAUUCAGCCUCAAAGUUGCUGCUGAAAACUCGUCUCUUCUCGUUGGCGUUGACUGAUCUGAGCUUGACUUCUGAACUGACUUUAUUUCCUGUCGUGUCUCAUCCUCUGCUCUGCUGCUUUUUGUCUCUAUUAUGUUUGUUUUCUGUUGUUCUUGUUUUUGUUUACUUCUGGAUUUAUGUGUUUUGAUAUUAUUUGUGUUUUUCACAACUGUUUUUUUUUAAGAUAUGUUGUGGGGCUUUUUAGCCUUUAAUGGACAGGACAGACAAGCAUGAAGGGGAGAGAGAGGGAGGAUGACAUGCAGCAAA